UAUUGCGAAACCGAACUAAAUAAACAAAAUAAGUCGAACCGGACCCAAAAAUCAAAUUGAUUUUUCGAAAACCAAAUGAAUAGCCUGAGAAUCAUGUGAAAAACCUGCAAAUCGAGUAAAAAUCGAGAUGAGUCGUUGAAUCAGACCGAUCCGGUUCGGAUCGAACCGGAAUCAUCUAGAAGUUGGACAUACUUUAUUUCUUUUCUUUUCUUCUUCUUCUUCCUUUCCUCUCCUGCGUCGACCUCAUCUCCUCCUCCUCUUCUCCUCUUCUUCUCUUCCUCUUUCUUCUUCUUCUUCUU
rnacentral:lncRNA from 1 species